GCUUCAGUCGCCCCUUUCUUUACACACCGGCAGGUUUCCCGUGCUCCCUUGGGAUUCCGGUGUCCCUUUAGUUUUCAGGAAAAUGAAAACAUUGGUUUUUCAAAUGUCCUUUCUGUCCGCAAUACCAGCAAACAUUUUCUUUCGGAUCUCCUCUCCUCUUCUCUCAUUCUCUCUGCUGCCCGUUCUCUCGGGAGCGUUGUCCUUGCGAAGAGAAAUUGCGUUGUUAUGUUGUGGCUGUGCCCAUUCUCCUAUCUUGGCAAAAGCUGAAGAUAGCUGUUUCUCUGGUGAACGGCUUCUCUGCUGUUUCCUUAGGCCUUGCCUCCCGUUCCGUCUUUAUCUGAACAUCAUCUUUGUCCUCUUCAAAAGUGCUGCCAAGGAUGUGGAUGAUCUCUGAUUCUGGUCCACGUGGCAGUUCUUGCAUCGGCGGUGGCGGGGGUGCAGAAGGUGGUGCUUGUCGUGCUGGCUGUUGUAUCUGUGCGGCUUGUUGAGCAGGUGGUGGUGGAGGGCGACGUUGUGGAGGGGGUUGGAGGUCAUCGUCCAGAAGCGGUACCCUUGUGAAUUGGAAAUGUACCCCAGGUGGGGUACGUGCAGGUGCAUAGGGAGGAGGGAAAAAAAAAAAAAAAGAAA